AUUGAACGCUGGCGGAAUGCUUUACACAUGCAAGUCGAACGAUGAACCUUAGCUUGCUAGGGGGAUUAGUGGCGGACGGGUGAGUAAUAUAUCGGAACGUGUCCAUUAAUGGGGGAUAACUAGCCGAAAGGUUGGCUAAUACCGCAUACGCCCUGAGGGGGAAAGCUGGGGAUCUUCGGACCUGGCGUUAAUGGAGCGGCCGAUAGCUGAUUAGCUAGUUGGUGGGGUAAAGGCCUACCAAGGCGACGAUCAGUAGCUGGUCUGAGAGGACGACCAGCCACACUGGGACUGAGACACGGCCCAGACUCCUACGGGAGGCAGCAGUGGGGAAUUUUGGACAAUGGGGGCAACCCUGAUCCAGCCAUUCCGCGUGAGUGAAGAAGGCCUUCGGGUUGUAAAGCUCUUUCGCAAGGGAAGAAAAGAUAUAGGUUAAUAGCUUAUGUUGCUGACGGUACCUUGAUAAGAAGCACCGGCUAACUACGUGCCAGCAGCCGCGGUAAUACGUAGGGUGCGAGCGUUAAUCGGAAUUACUGGGCGUAAAGCGUGCGCAGGCUGUUUGGCAAGUCAGAUGUGAAAUCCCCGAGCUCAACUUGGGAACUGCGUUUGAAACUGCCAGACUAGAAUAGGUCAGAGGGGGGUAGAAUUCCACGUGUAGCAGUGAAAUGCGUAGAGAUGUGGAGGAAUACCAAUGGCGAAGGCAGCCCCCUGGGAUCAUAUUGACGCUCAUGCACGAAAAGCGUGGGGAGCGAAACAGGAUUAGAUACCCUGGUAGUCCACGCCCCUAAACGAUGUCAACU
rnacentral:rRNA from 1 species